rfam:Onchocerca volvulus assembly O_volvulus_Cameroon_v3 genomic scaffold, OVOC_OO_000004
AUCGCUUCUCGGCCUAUUGGCUAAGAUCAAAGUGUAGUAUCUGUUCUUAUCAGCUUAAUCUCUGAUAUGUGAUCUAUCGAUCACUUCGAGAUUAUCCUAUUUUUGAGACCUUGGUGGGUUUGCAGGGGCUUGCUCCUCACCUACCGCGGGUCGACCCGGUAUUGCACCUACUUCCGGGAACGGCCCAUCAUCC